UUUUCAAUUUUUGUUAAUUAUUCUGAUCGAAUAUUAUAGUGCAGUUGAAGAAAAUUCAAUAUAAUAAGAAAAGGUUGCCAGUGAUUUAUAAACAAUGGGCAACAGUAAAACACCAUUAAGUACCGAAAGAACAGCAGUAUACAAAAGAAACAAGAGGAGAGUAAUAAGAUAUUUGAAAGCUUUUCCACCCAGAACAACCGGACCUAUUCCAAAACUUUACUUGGAGUCGCCGGUACAGCAUUCCAUUCAAGCCAAAAAGUGAUGAACGAGCUCGUUACCAGUAUUAUUCCCGGAAUAAAGACUGUGGUAAAGUAAAAGGCACGGUCCCUUGUGAAGAUAAGAUCCACUUUCAGACAGCUGUAGUUACCUAAUUAUUUUACCAAAAUUAAGAUACUUUAUUAAAAACAAUUAUGAAAUAAUUUUUCUAAAAUUCGACAUAAAAAUGCUUCUCUACUUUAUCACUGGGGUUAACUAAAAUACUAAUUUUCUGAUCUUUAUUCAAUAAAAUAUAUUUGUUGUAAA